rnacentral:rRNA from 1 species
ACUACGGGUGGCAGCAGUGGGGAAUAUUGGUCAAUGGGCGAAAGCCUGACCCAGCAACGUCGCGUGAAGGAAGAAGGCCCUCGGGUUGUAAACUUCUUUUUACAGGGAAGAGCAGAAGACGGUACCUGUCGAAUAAGCCACGGCUAACUACGUGCCAGCAGCCGCGGUAAUACGGAGGUGGCAAGCGUUGUCCGGGUUUACUGGGUGUACAGGGCGUGUUGCCGUGCUGACAAGGCCGAGGUGAAAUCCGGGGGGUCAACCCGCGAACUGCAAUUGAAACUGUUGGUCUUGAGGAUCGGAGAGGCAGGCGGAAUACGUAGAGUAGCGGUGAAAUGCGUAGAUAUUAGGAGGAACACCAGUGGCGAAGGCAGCCUGCUGGACGACAACUGACGGUGAGGCGCGAAAGCGUGGGGAGCAAACAGGAUUAGAUACCCCGGUAGUC